AUUGAACGCUGGCGGCAGGCCUAACACAUGCAAGUCGAGCGGAUGAAGGGAGCUUGCUCCUGGAUUCAGCGGCGGACGGGUGAGUAAUGCCUAGGAAUCUGCCUGGUAGUGGGGGAUAACGUCCGGAAACGGGCGCUAAUACCGCAUACGUCCUGAGGGAGAAAGUGGGGAUCUUCGGACCUCACGCUAUCAGAUGAACCUAGGUCGGAUUAGCUAGUUGGUGGGGUAAAGGCCUACCAAGGCGACGAUCCGUAACUGGUCUGAGAGGAUGAUCAGUCACACUGGAACUGAGACACGGUCCAGACUCCUACGGGAGGCAGCAGUGGGGAAUAUUGGACAAUGGGCGAAAGCCUGAUCCAGCCAUGCCGCGUGUGUGAAGAAGGUCUUCGGAUUGUAAAGCACUUUAAGUUGGGAGGAAGGGCAGUAAGUUAAUACCUUGCUGUUUUGACGUUACCAACAGAAUAAGCACCGGCUAACUUCGUG
rnacentral:rRNA from 1 species